rnacentral:rRNA from 1 species
UUGGCUCAGAACGAACGCUGGCGGCGUGCUUAACACAUGCAAGUCGAACGAUGAUGCCCAGCUUGCUGGGUGGAUUAGUGGCGAACGGGUGAGUAACACGUGAGUAACCUGCCCCUGACUCUGGGAUAAGCGUUGGAAACGACGUCUAAUACUGGAUACGACUGCCGGCCGCAUGGUCUGGUGGUGGAAAGAUUUUUUGGUUGGGGAUGGACUCGCGGCCUAUCAGCUUGUUGGUGAGGUAAUGGCUCACCAAGGCGACGACGGGUAGCCGGCCUGAGAGGGUGACCG